rnacentral:lncRNA from 10 species
UGGCUGUGACCCUGCACCUGGCUGUGACCUGCCCUCUCUCAAAGGUCACCCUGUGGCUGAGACCCGCUCCCUGGCUGUGGCGCACAUCCAGGUUCACAUGCCCCACUCCCACGUGGGCUGUGGCUCCAUCCCCAGCUUUGACACACCACACGAGUAUGGCUGGCCAUGACCCCAGCACCCUAGCCAUGACCCCAGCACCCUAGCCAUGACCACACCUCAGCUCGGACCUCACCCCCACCCGUCUGUGACCUAAGCCUGCUCCACCUCGCCGUGACCUCACCCUGGACUCUCCUACUCCUGACCUCUUCCCUCUCGGGCUGGGCCCACCCCUGACUUCCUGAGAGCCUGGCCUGGACCCUCGCUGCGCCCUAGGGGGAUGACCCCCGACCCCGGUCCUACGCCUUAGCCCUACCCCGCCCCCAUCGUGACACACGCACUAAUGACACAGACAUUGAUCCCCGAGUGCUCCCCAUUCUGAUCUCACCCCUGGCCCCACCUGCAUUCCCCUUGGACCCGGUGCUGCCCCUGGCCACCCCACUCCUGUUCCCGUCUCAGCUCCUCGGCUUCGUCACUUCCCCACCCCUGACGUUGAGUGGCUCCACCAGCCCUGGCCCGGGCCCUGCCCUGCUACCUGACUCACCACUCAGACCCCGGCCCCCUUCCUUACCUUGCUGCCAUUGCUGUCUCACCUGGCGCCUUCCGUGGCUACCUGGCCGGCCUCCCCUCCCUUGGCUUCCCCACCUCCACCUGGCCUCACUCCCAGCCCCGCC